ACAUGUUCCUUAAUAUAUCCUCACUUUUUAAAAUUCUUUUUUCUUUUUGCUUUCAGAUUGGGUGCUUUCUACUACCUGUCUUCCAGAUCACGGAUCCAUCCUCUACUCAGAGAGCUGAUUACUAAACAUAUAGCAGCUUACCACAUACAGUGCACCUGUGUCAAUCCCAAAUGUGCACCUGUAUCAAACCCAAA
rnacentral:lncRNA from 1 species